UGAUCAAAGGACUCUGGAACUAGAUUC
rnacentral:piRNA from 1 species